CAGGAACCCGGUGGGAAUCCGGGGCUGUCGCGCAACUGUGACCGGGGAGGGCUCCCCCGCAUGCGGCCACGGCGGUGACGCUGGAAGGCCGGGGGAGACCCGGGGAUCCGGGAGCCAGGAGACUG
rnacentral:ncRNA from 2 species